UACGAAGGGGGCGAGCGUUGUUCGGAAUCACUGGGCGUAAAGCGCACGCAGGUGGAUCGCUAAGUCAGGGGUGAAAUCCCGGAGCUCAACUCCAGAACUGCCUUUGAUACUGGCAAUCUCGAGUCCGGGAGAGGUGAGUGGAACUGCGAGUGUAGAGGUGAAAUUCGUAGAUAUUCGCAAGAACACCAGUGGCGAAGGCGGCUCACUGGCCCGGUACUGACGCUGAGGUGCGAAAGCGUGGGGAGCAAACAGG
rnacentral:rRNA from 1 species